rnacentral:rRNA from 1 species
GCCAGACUCCUACGGGAGGCAGCAGUGAGGAAUAUUGGUCAAUGGGCGGGAGCCUGAACCAGCCAAGCCGCGUGAGGGAAGAAGGUACAGCGUAUCGUAAACCUCUUUUGUCAGGGAACAAAGGCGGGGACUAGUCCCCGGAUGAGGGUACCUGAAGAAAAAGCAUCGGCUAACUCCGUGCCAGCAGCCGCGGUAAUACGGAGGAUCCGAGCGUUAUCCGGAUUCAUUGGGUUUAAAGGGUGCGUAGGUUGUUUUAUAAGUUAGCGGUGAAAUACCGAUGCUCAACAUCGGGGCUGCCGCUAUUACUGUAGGACUAGAGAUCGGAUGCAGCAGGCGGAAUGUGUAGUGUAGCGGUGAAAUGCAUAGAUAUUACACAGAACACCGAUUGCGAAGGCAGCUUGCUAGGCCGGAUCUGACACUGAUGCACGAAAGCGUGGGGAUCGAACAGGAUUAGAUACCCUCGUA